rnacentral:lncRNA from 1 species
UUGGCUUAGUGGAAUUGUAGGCAGCAUAAGAAGAAAUAAAAGAAUUUUAUAUCAGGCUAGUGAAACCUCCUUUUGAUACUGAAUUUUGACAGGAAGAGCAGAAAUCAAGCUGAAGUGCAAGUCAGAUGAGAUAUGACUGUCUUGUAUGAACUGCAGCUUCUUGGAGGAGAUCUCGGGAAUCAGCCUUCAGUGUAGUGAGAACAUUGUCAGAAUAACUGGAAAGGACCCAAGCUAACUCACAUCAAGGAGAACUAGUCUGAACUACUCUUUUUCUUAAAACCCUGAGGAUAUUGAAGCAGUGACCAGAGGUUAGAUGAGAAUGCAGUGAGGCCCACCUGGUUCUAGUACUGCAGCAGACAGGAGCAAGUGAAGGCUGUAGUUGGAAGGAGACUUCAGAGUCUGGUGGUGAUUGUGCUGCUUCUCUCUCAAGUGACAAUGUGCAAGUACCCAGAAAGUUUCAUGAUACAUGCUGAAGAGAAACUAAGACUGCAGAGCUCUGUACCAGGGAGGUUCUAGCCCAGCAGUUCCACAGGAAAAGAAAAUGGAUCGUGCAGCUCCGAACAGUUCCCCUUUGCUUUUCUUUUGCCACUCUUCUCCCUGUGGUAGACUAUGACGAAACACUCAGUCCUCUGACGAAGAUGAUUGAACUUUUUGGCUGCAACUAAAGCCACCUGGUUAAUAUGAAGUGACGAAAGCUGGAAUUGGAAGAACAUCUCUAGAGGAUGAAGAAUGAAGAUAGUGGGGAGGUGCUUUGGUACAGAAUACUUUCUCACAGGUAGACUCGUGAGUAAGAGCAAAAGCAACAAAAUCUUAAAAUGACAUCUGGGUGGGUGUGAUUUCUCUUUGUUCUAAUCUAGUUUGUAAGCUAAAACUAGAACAAACACUUUUCCUGUGAAUCUAGAAGAAAAGGUUUGAGUAGACCUCAUUUUGUAUUUUGAGAUUAGGUUACCUUUGUGCUUUCUGGAUUUGUAAUUUAAUUCAUCUGUUUUGGAGAGAAGCCUGAAACUAAUAUGAUCAUAGAGAGAGGAAGAGAGGGCUGUGGCCAGUUUGCGUGAGUGAAACUGGGGACUGGAGUGGAACUCCAGUUUGGGUGUCUAGUGGGUGGUUGCUGGAUGGGAACUCAUUUUGAUUAUUACUGAGCUGAGUAGCAAUCAUUCAGUGCAUAAGUCAUACUGAACUAGUCAGUCAUCCUAAUGUGUUAAUGUCUGUCUUUUAGGGACUACGUUUUAACAAAGCAGUGUUUCUUCUAAUCAGUACAUACUGUGUUUUUGUGUGCUCAGGAUAAAACGUGUGUGACCUUGAUUUAAAAUAAAUACAUCACUACAAGAUCAAGUUGCCUCCUAUAAAAGUAUAUUUGAAAAGUUAAAAAAAAUAAAAAUUAAUAAUAAUAAAAUCUCUUCCUCCAGAUGUCUGCUUCCUUUCUUUGCACUUCGAAACAUUUAAGCAUGCUCUUUACAUGACGCUUAAGUUUUCAAGUCAGAGUUACGAGUUGCUUUAGCCAGGCUUGGAGUCUGAAAAUGAGACC